rnacentral:rRNA from 1 species
GAUGAACGCUAGCUACAGGCUUAACACAUGCAAGUCGAGGGGCAGCAUGGUCUUAGCUUGCUAAGGCCGAUGGCGACCGGCGCACGGGUGAGUAACACGUAUCCAACCUGCCGUCUACUCUUGGACAGCCUUCUGAAAGGAAGAUUAAUACAAGAUGGCAUCAUGAGUCCGCAUGUUCACAUGAUUAAAGGUAUUCCGGUAGACGAUGGGGAUGCGUUCCAUUAGAUAGUAGGCGGGGUAACGGCCCACCUAGUCUUCGAUGGAUAGGGGUUCUGAGAGGAAGGUCCCCCACAUUGGAACUGAGACACGGUCCAAACUCCUACUGGAGGCAGCAGUGAGGAAUAUUGGUCAAUGGGCGAGAGCCUGAACCAGCCAAGUAGCGUGAAGGAUGACUGCCCUAUGGGUUGUAAACUUCUUUUAUAAAGGAAUAAAGUCGGGUAUGGAUACCCGUUUGCAUGUACUUUAUGAAUAAGGAUCGGCUAACUCCGUG